AUGUCGUACCCCUGCCUUCGCCGCGCCGCCGUGCCGGUAAAGCGGGUCUGGCUCGGCCUCCGCGGGCGCCUCGGCCUCCGUCGAUCCACCGGUCUUGGCGAGCUUCGCAGGGAGGUCCGAACGUGCGAGUACGACGAUGUGCACGUCAUGUGGGAGCUGCUCAGCGGCAUGGACGGCAGCGCGCCGCGCAAGUACGUGCACGUAGCCGCCACCGCCGCCAUGGUUGACGCCGCCGCCCGGAAGAAGCUGAGGGGGAGGAGGCGGGCGAGGAGGGCCGAUGCCGAAUCCGCCGCGUGGAGCCGCCUCUUCUCCUCCUGCUGCGCCUUCUGA
rnacentral:rRNA from 1 species